rnacentral:tRNA from 1 species
GACUGGAUAAGCUAACAAAAGCUAACGGGUUCAUACCCCGGAAAUGAGGUAUCCUCUCCAUUCA